GUCCACGCCGUAAACGUUGGGCACUAGGUGUGGGUCUCAACCAACGAGAUCCGCGCCGUCGCUAACGCAUUAAGUGCCCCGCCUGGGGAGUACGGUCGCAAGACUAAAACUCAAAGGAAUUGACGGGGGCCCGCACAAGCAGCGGAGCGUGUUGCUUAAUUCGAUGUUACGCGAAGAACCUUACCUGGGUUUGACAUGUAGGGAAAAGCUCUAGAGAUAGGGUGUCCUAACGGGCCUACACAGGUGGUGCAUGGCUGUCGU
rnacentral:rRNA from 1 species